GCCGGGAGAGGAGCCAGGGGUCAUGGCAGCGCCCGCGGACCCAAGGCGGCUGUGCCGACUAGUUCAGGAAGGCCGGCUGUGUGCCCUGCGGGAGGAGCUAAGGGCGGCGGGGCGCGCCGGCUGCGCGGGGCUGGCCAGGGACACCCUUCUGCAUUUCGCCGCGCGCCACGGCCGCCGGGAAAUCCUGGCCUAUCUGAUCGAGGCCUGGGACCUGGACAUCGAGGCCGCCAACCGAGACUACAAGCGGCCUCUGCACGAGGCUGCCUCCAUGGGCCACCGGGACUGCGUGCGGUACCUGCUGGGCCGAGGGGCCGCGGUCGACAGCCUGAAGAAGGCCGACUGGACUCCUCUGAUGAUGGCUUGCACAAGGAGGAAUCUUGAGGUGGUCCAGGACCUCGUGGAGCACGGCGCCAAUCCACUCCUGAAGAACAAAGAUGGCUGGAACAGUUUCCACAUUGCCAGCCGAGAAGGCGACCCUCUGAUCCUCCAGUACCUGCUCGCUGUUUGCCCAGCUGCCUGGAAGACAGAGAGCAAAAUCGGGAGAACACCGCUGCACACGGCAGCAAUGCAUGGCUGUUCAGAAGCAGUAGAGGUGCUUCUUCAGAGGUGCCAGUAUGAACCGGACCGCAGAGACAAGUGUGGCCUCACACCCUUCAUGGAUGCCAUUCAGUGCGGACACAUCGACGUAGCCAGGCUGCUCCUCGAAAAACACAAGGCUUGCGUUUCUGCUGAGGACUCCCUGGGGGCCCAGGCCAUCCACCGGGCAGCAGUCACUGGGCAGAAUGAGGCCAUCCAAUUCUUGGUCUCUGAGCUUGGCAUCAACGUAGAUGUGAGAGCAGCCUCCACCCACCUCACAGCACUUCACUACGCAGCUAAGGAAGGACACGUAAGCACAAUCCAGACACUCUUAUCCUUGGGUGCCGACAUCAACGCCAAGGACGAAAGAAAUCGAUCAGCUGCAGUUACUGUUCCCUGUUGCUCCAGAGAUGUCUUCGUGUCCCUGCCUUUGGGUCUGAGGAUGGCCUGUUACAUGCAAUCCCUUCUUGCAGGUGGGACAGAAAGACCCGUCUGGGGCUGCCCUUCUCCCCUCAACACACACAUGAAGCAGCUUUUUCUUUGUAGUGACUGCACACAGACCCUCCAGGCCACUGCUACGCUACAAGAAGUGUCAAGUGUAGAAGCUGCAGACCCAUCACCUAUUCAAACAUAAAGAUAGACUCGGGGACUUGGAUUAUUAUGAGAACAGAGAUGCUAAACUCCUAGUAGGUAAUAAGUAUUUUAUUCUUUUGUGAGAAAAUAUGUCAUAUUAAGAAAUUAAAUUGUUUAUUUAGCAAACUCAACAAUGGAUAUUUAAUACUAUUAGUAUUUAUUAAAAUGCUUAUGAGGCAUUUAAAAAUAUUGUAUAUCAGACUUGCUAAAAAUUGAAAUUCAAGUAAUUAAGUUUAUUAUGAGUAAAGAGGAAUUGUGGAAAGGGGCACAGUGCCUUCUGGAAACUUUCUUUUAAAAACAGCUUUAUAUAAUUCACACUCCAUACAACCUACCCAUUUAAAGUGUGGUUUCUAGUGUCUUCGUAGAUACUUACAGCUCUCACCGACUUUAGAACAUCUUGAGUUAAUUUUAGAACAUCCUCAUUGCUCAAAAGGAAACCCCAUGCCUUUGAGCCAUUAGGUCCCUCCUCCCCACUCCAACCGCCAGCCCCUGCAACUGCUAAUUUACAUUCUACCUCUAUGGAUUUGCCAUUUCUGGACAUUUCACAUCAACGGAAUCAUACGUCAAGUGGUCUUUUGUGACUGCUUCUUUCAUUGGCUCAAUAUUCCCAAGGUUCGUCCAGGUUGGAGCAUGUGUCAGCAUUUCAUUCCUUUUUAUGACCAAAUAAUAUUCCAUUGUGUAGAUAAACCACAGUUUGUUUAUCCGUUCAUCAGCUGAUGGACAUUUGGGUUGUUUUCACCUUUUGGCUGUUACGAUUAAUGCUGCUAUGAACAUUCUUUCAUAAGUUUGUGUGGACAUGUGUCUUUGUUUCUCUUGGCUGUAUACCUAAGAGUGCUGGCUCCUAUGACAGCUCUGUGUGUAAGUAGGUCCAGUGUAUAAGUUCACUUGUUUGAGGAGCUGUCAGGCUGUGUGACAAAGUGGCUGCUCCAUUUCGAGUUCCCCUCGGCAGUGUGUGAGGGUUCCGAUUUCGCCACAUCCUCAGUAGCACCUGUUAGCGUCUGUCUUUUCAACUCUGGCCAUCCUGUUGGAUGUGAAGUGGUUUCGAUUUGCAUUUCCCUGAUGACUAAUGAUGUUAAACAUUUUCGUGUGCUUGUUGGCCAUGUGUACAUCUCAGUUGGAGAAACAUCUGUUCGACCCCUUUGCCCAUUUUUUAAUUGGCUUGUUGUUUUUUUCAGUUGAAGCGUAAUUGAGGUGUACAACGUAGUGAUUUGAUAUUUUUAUACAUAAAAUGAUCAUCAGUUGGCCUGUCUUUUUAUAAUGAAAUGUAAAUAAACCUUCUG